CCUUAUUAGCUCCAGUACAGUAUGGAAUUGUAAUGCUAUCGAAUAGUUGUAUGAUUUCAUUGGAUAUGUUGUAUGAGUGUUUAGUUUCAUUAAUUUUAUGAACUAUGUCAAUCUCACUGGCAAUGUCAUACUUGAAAUUAGUCUUUUGUUGCUAGAUGAAGCUUCAUUUCCUUCUUGAUGCUCUUAUUGCGUCUAUUUCAUCAGUUAUUGUAUCCUCUUCUUCUUUAGUUGCUAAUUUGAAACCAUUAAACAUUUAAUUGUCUGAGAAAAUAUUGUGAACCCUUUUCUGGUUUAAUCCCAACUGUUAUUUGUAAAUACGUUACCUUCCUAGUGAUUCACUAUGGUUCUAGUCAAUAUCUCACUGCUUCUGAUACCAUCUGUGUGACAUAUGCUUAAUGAAUUUCAAAGGUUUUGGCCUGUGCCCAAUGGUGAGAAGAAGAUGAUACAUAUGGUAGUUCUUUUGCUACUUAGUCUUGUUCUUGUUUACCUUUUUCACCGAGCUCUGAAGAUAUUGAUUGGAAUAGAAGUCAUGGGUAUCACCAUUGUUGAAUUAUGUUACUAAAGUUAUAUUUCUUUCUUUGAAAUAUAUCUUCCUUUAUUGUUGUUAUAGGACUUUUAGGGUAUCUGAAGCUUGAUUAGAGCCUUGGUGACCAUUGUAUCUUUUGCUUUCUCAGUAUAUAAUCUUGUAGUAAAUCAUAGUUUCUUCUUUCAAUGAUGUUAUGUAGGGUUUUAGAAACCUGUGCCUUGGGUUUCAUCGAGACUUAUUGCUGCUUUUGCCCCAUGAUGGAAAACUCAUUUUUGAUUGAAUGGUUCUGGUUUUCUAUUCUUCUCUGGCUUUUGCACUCCACCUCCUUUCACUCUCUCUCUCUCUCUCUCUCUCUCUCUCUCACAGAUGGUCUUUAUACUGGCUGUGUAUUGGAUGGUUUUCCAACACACACACACGCUAUAUCUUUCUAUCUAUAUCUAUAUAGACAUUUCUUUGGUGGUUAGGUGGUGUAUGAAAAGCCAUUGAAGGAUGUGUUUACAGUGAAACUGUACAUGAUGUUGGCAUAGCCAUGAGGUCUGAGGGCUCUUUUUAUGUGCACUUCCAGUGCAUUUUGGAGGCAGAUGUGUUCGGCCAACAGAUGCUAAUUUAGUUCGAAUAGAACUGUAUAAGGAGUUUGUAUUUUUGACUUCUGGCAUUAACAAAUGCCAUGUACAGUGCUGAACUAUAAAUAUGUGUGUGCAUAUUUUUCACUUUCCUUUUCCUUCUAUGAGUGUAUUUUUAGUGAGCAAUCUUAGAGAUACCUUAUAUUUUAUAUUAUGAAUGUAUUUAAGCAGAAUGCAUCAGAGAAAUGCAGACAUGGUGUUUCUGGUUGAUUAAAUCUCUAUUUAUAUGUAUAUUUAAUCUUUGCUGUAUUGAGUCGGGUUUUCUGUGGUUUUAUUUGAUAGUACAUGUGUAUAUUUAUCACCCUUUUUUUCUUCUAUGAGCAUAUUUGGCGUCGAGAUCACAUUCCCUAAACAUGCUUUGAUGUUUAUUGUUAUUAGCCUGCCCUGCCCAAUGAUGAAUACUUGUAUAGGCUUAGAGGUGCCCACGUCAUUGUUAUUAGCCUCCAUCCUCUCUACCAUUUGUUAUCUCUAGUUCUGGCUUUUUCUUCUUUUUCUUUUUCUCACUUCUUUGUCGCAGUCGUUAUUGUUGUUAUUAUUAUUACUAUUAUUUUUAUUAUGAUUUGUUAGUCCUUUUGACUAUUGAUGGCAAUGGCAGUAGAGGAUGUGGAAAGGUUAUCAAUGAAACUAAAUAGUCUCACCAUUGAUGAAGUUCUUAGAACUAUUGACUUCUGACCUCUGAGGGCAUUGCAGAUUCUGUCACUAUAUGAUAUCUGAAGAUGAAAUGAAAUGUUUUGAUUUUCAUUGCUGAAGAGUUUGUUUUUGGGCAUUGACAGGAGAAGUAACAGAAAAUGUACUUGCUUUCUAAUGUCCUAUACUAGGCUAGAGGUGAAUGUUAUCUGUUGAAAUUAAUGCAUGAUCACCCUACAUAUGCUCACCUGUGUAGCAAUGUUGGCAUAUCUGUUUUGUUGCAUCUAAUCUUAUUAUAAUAAUUUUUAUUAAAUUUAUUUUCUUAAAAGUACUUUUUAUUGGAUUUGUUGUCAAUGAGAUCAAACUCUUUCUUGUUCGACCUCAACUAGUAUUUUCUAUGCUCAUUACCUGGUAAUACUUGAGAAAGCAUGUAAUCUCGGUGAUUCAUUUUGGUUCUAUUCAAUCUUUCACUUCUUUUUAUUCCUUAAUCAAUUUCAAAUGCUUUGACAUGUGGCCAAUUAUGAUACGGAGGGUAUUUUGCUUUAUUUGAACUAUAUCCUCCCUUUAAAUUGUUUUUAUAGGCUGUUCAGGGUUUUCGAAGCUCGCUUAGAGCCUUUUCUGACAGUUGUGCUUUUUGCUGGCUCAGUAUAUUCUCUUUUAGUAGAUCAUAGUGCUUUCUCUCGUGAUGUUAUGUAGGAUUUUAGAAAUGUCUUGGUUUCAUCUAGACCUGCUGCCAUUAUUUUGCCCAAUGAUGGAAAACUCAAUUUUGAUUGGAUUGUUCUUGUUUCGAUUCAUCUUUGGCUUUUGCACUCCACCUCCUUUCACUCUCUCUCUCUCUCUCUCUCUCUCUCUCUCUCUUCACCACACAUGUUAUCUCCAUCGGCAAUAUAUUGGGUAAAUUUCCCACACGCAUAUAUAUAUACAUACAUAUAUAGAUUUCUUUGGUGGUCAGGUGGUGUGCUAAAAGCUAUUGAUGAAGAUGAUUACAGUGAAAAGUACAUGAUCUUGACAUAGCUAUGAGUUCUGAGGGCAGUCAUUUUAGUUGCAAUUUAAGAUAGUUGUCAAAGGAAGGUGUCUUUAAUCAUCCCCCAAAAAGAUGGUAAUUUAGUCUGUGUAAUGCGUGUAUAUAUUUGAGCUUCUGGCAUUAAUAAAUGCUGUGUGAAGUGCUGAACUAUAAAGUCGUGCUUGUGUAGUCUAUACCUGUUCCCUCGAUUGUACUUUUCCUUGCAGUGUUAUCUUGCUUAUGCUUGUUUUAUAAAUGUAUCAUAGUCAUUGAAAUUUUUAUUAAUGCAUCCGAGAAAUUGCAAACUUUAGUAUUUAUGGUUGAUAAAUGUCUAUGCGUAAGAGCAUUGUCCAUUCUUUUUAUUUUUCUGUUUCUCUUGUCCUUGUUGCUGGCAUUGGUAGUAGAGGAUUUGGAAAGGUUAUCAAUGAAAUUAAAUAGCACAGCAUCGGUGAUGAAUUGUUUAGAGUUAUGGAAU
rnacentral:lncRNA from 1 species